rnacentral:rRNA from 1 species
UACGUAGGGUGCGAGCGUUAAUCGGAAUUAUUGGGCGUAAAGCGCGCGUAGGCGGUUACUCAAGUCGGAUGUGAAAGCCCUCGGCUUAACUGAGGAAGUGCACCCGAAACUGAGUAGCUAGAGUACCAAAGAGGGUCGCGGAAUUCCCGGUGUAGAGGUGAAAUUCGUAGAUAUCGGGAGGAACACCGGUGGCGAAGGCGGCGACCUGGGUGGAUACUGACGCUGAGGCGCGAAAGCGUGGGGAGCAAACAGG